CAAUAGCGUAUAUUAAAGUUGUUGCAGUUAAAAAGCUCGUAGUUGAAUUUUUGCCUGCCGCCGAUGUCGGAACUUCCGUACGUUCGGCGGCGUGCAUCCUUGGGUGGAACCUGUGUGGCAUUAGGUUGUCGUGCAGGGGAUGCUCAUCGUUUACUGUGAAAAAAUUAGAGUGUUCAAAGCAGGCUUACGCCGUUGAAUAUAUUAGCAUGGAAUAAUAAGAUAGGACCUUGGUACUAUUUUGUUGGUUUGCGCACCGAGGUAAUGAUUAACAGGGACAGUUGGGGGUAUUCGUAUUCCAUUGUCAGAGGUGAAAUUCUUGGAUUUCUGGAAGACGAACUACUGCGAAAGCAUUUACCAAGGAUGUUUUCAUUAA
rnacentral:rRNA from 1 species